ACGAACGCUGGCGGCGUGCCUAAUACAUGCAAGUUGAGCGCUGAAGGUUGGUACUUGUACCGACUGGAUGAGCAGCGAACGGGUGAGUAACGCGUGGGGAAUCCGCCUUUGAGCGGGGGACAACAUUUGGAAACGAAUGCUAAUACCGCAUAAAAACUUUAAACACAAGUUUUAAGUUUGAAAGAUGCAAUUGCAUCACUCAAAGAUGAUCCCGCGUUGUAUUAGCUAGUUGGUGAGGUAAAGGCUCACCAAGGCGAUGAUACAUAGCCGACCUGAGAGGGUGAUCGGCCACAUUGGGACUGAGACACGGCCCAAACUCCUACGGGAGGCAGCAGUAGGGAAUCUUCGGCAAUGGACGAAAGUCUGACCGAGCAACGCCGCGUGAGUGAAGAAGGUUUUCGGAUCGUAAAACUCUGUUGGUAGAGAAGAACGUUGGUGAGAGUGGAAAGCUCAUCAAGUGACGGUAACUACCCAGAAAGGGACGGCUAACUACGUG
rnacentral:rRNA from 1 species